rnacentral:rRNA from 1 species
CCUACGGGUGGCAGCAGUCGAGAAUCUUCGGCAAUGGGCGAAAGCCUGACCGAGCGACGCCGCGUGCGGGAUGAAGGCCCUCGGGUUGUAAACCGCUGUCAGUGGGGAGGAAGGCUCUGUGAAGAGCAGGGUUUGACCUAUCCGCAGAGGAAGUCCGGGCUAAGUUCGUGCCAGCAGCCGCGGUAACACGAACCGGACAAACGUUACUCGGAAUCACUGGGCUUAGAGGGCGCGUUGACAGCUUGGGUGUGAAAUCCCUCGGCUCAACCGAGGAAUUGCGCUCAAAACUGUUGGGCUAGAGGGAGUUAGAGGUAAGCGGAACUUAGGGUGGAGCGGUGAAAUGCGUUGAUAUCCUAAGGAACACCAGUGGCGAAAGCGGCUUACUGGAGCUCUUCUGACGCUGAGGCACGAAAGCUAGGGGAGCGAACGGGAUUAGAUACCCUGGUAGUC